GUUUCAGCAUUCCUUGGACAGUUUGUGCGUCUAUUUUAUCCUUCAAAUUGGAUUACAUAUCAUGUUGACUAAUUUUAUUCAUUCACAUGUAAGAUUCCAUUCUUUUAUUGCAAAAUCAAUUGGAUUUAUGAAUCCAAGGAUGGUUAUGCUGUUGUUUUUUGCAUCUUAGGAAUGCAUUUGGUAUUUGAAUAAUUAGAGUCUACCUCAGAUAUAUUCCAUUAAAAACUAAAAUGUUUGCAUUCUAUCUCUUUGUCUCUAAAUCCCAG
rnacentral:misc_RNA from 1 species